AUGUCAUAUAGGAGAAACAACCCUGAGAUCUCACCGUUUGCUUCUAGUAAUCAUAUGCAGGGAUUUAGGUAUGAAGAGGAGAGCCACAACUAUGCUCCACAACAGUCUUAUUCAGCUCCUAUUCAUAUACCUCUGCACCAGGAGAUGUUGCCAAUGGAGUUAAAUGGUCCUCCAUUUGGUCAACCAACAACUCCAGCACCUGUUGUGCAAUCUCAAGUGCCCACUCAAGAUGAGUUCGAUCACAUAGACGAGCUCACACUUUUGAGUCUCGAGUUCACUUGGAGUGCCGAGGAUGAUCCUAUUAGGAAGGUGAUACUUGAGGAAAUGAAGAAGAUUAAGAGUGGAAAGGAGCUAGUGGAAGAAGUAAGGAAGAUUGAGAAGAACAUCAACGCUGGCAGUACUAUCUCUUCCCUCCUUGAGUUGAGUGUGGCCGAGAUUCCCCUUGAUACAUGUGAGGUUCCAACACCGUCACAUCCAGUUGAGCAAGAUAGCAAGAGUCCUGAGGAAGAAAGACCUCAGAUUGAAGAAGAUGAACUAGAAGACAAGGAACAAGAUGGUGAAGAGCUGCAAUUCCCAAGUGAUCAAGUUGAAGACUCAUCAUCUAUUACUCCUGAAGAAGUACAAGAAGCUGAUGUAGAUGAAGAUGAAGAACAUGAGAUUCAUUUGCCUAUUGUCAUACCAGAGCGUCAUGUGUCAGGUUUACCCAAUCCUCUCAAUGACAUGCGUCCUUAUGAUUCCUUUGCUUCUACCUUGCAUUGCAUGAUGCCAUCUGUUAAAGUAGAUUAG
rnacentral:rRNA from 1 species